UCCUUGGUGGCUCAGAUGGUAAAGCGUCUGCCUGCAAUGUGGGAGACCUGGGUUCAAUUCCUGGGUCGGGAA
rnacentral:tRNA from 1 species